rnacentral:rRNA from 1 species
GAUGAACGCUGGCGGCGUGCCUAAUACAUGCAAGUAGAACGCUGAAGCUUGGUGCUUGCACCGAGCGGAUGAGUUGCGAACGGGUGAGUAACGCGUAGGUAACCUGCCCCUUAGCGGGGGAUAACUAUUGGAAACGAUAGCUAAUACCGCAUAAAAGUUGACAUUGCAUGAUGUUGAUUUGAAAGAUGCAAUUGCAUCACUAAGAGAUGGACCUGCGUUGUAUUAGCUAGUUGGUGAAGUAACGGCUCACCAAGGCGACGAUACAUAGCCGACCUGAGAGGGUGAUCGGCCACACUGGGACUGAGACACGGCCCAGACUCCUACGGGAGGCAGCAGUAGGGAAUCUUCGGCAAUGGACGGAAGUCUGACCGAGCAACGCCGCGUGAGUGAAGAAGGUUUUCGGAUCGUAAAGCUCUGUUGUAAGAGAAGAACGAGUGUGAGAGUGGAAAGUUCACACUGAGACGGUAACUACCAGAA